UACGUAGGGGGCUAGCGUUGUCCGGAUUUAUUGGGCGUAAAGGGCGCGUAGGCGGCCUCUGCAAGUCGACUGUGAAAUCUCCGGGCUUAACCCGGAACGGUCAGCCGAUACUGCAGGGCUAGAGUGCAGAAGGGGCAACUGGAAUUCUCGGUGUAGCGGUGAAAUGCGUAGAUAUCGAGAGGAACACCUGCGGCGAAGGCGGGUAGCUGGGCCGACACUGACGCUGAGGCGCGAAAGCCAGGGGAGCGAACGGG
rnacentral:rRNA from 1 species